GAAAGUUUCCUUCGGGGGAUGAGUAGAGUGGCGCACGGGUGAGUAACACGUAGGUAAUCUACCUUCGGAUGGGGAAUAACAACCGGAAACGGUUGCUAAUACCGCAUAAUGCAGCGGCACCUAAUGGUGACAGUUGUUAAAGCGGGGGAUCGAAAGACCUCGCGUCUGAAGAGGAGCCUGCGGCGGAUUAGCUAGUUGGUAGGGUAACGGCCUACCAAGGCUACGAUCCGUAGCCGGCCUGAGAGGGCGGUCGGCCACACUGACACUGACAUACGGGUCAGACUCCUACGGGAGGCAGCAGUCGGGAAUUUUGGGCAAUGGGCGAAAGCCUGACCCAGCAACGCCGCGUGAAGGAUGAAAUCCCUCGGGAUGUAAACUUCGCAAGAACGGGAAGAAUAAGUAGGGGACAAUACCCCCUAUGAUGACGGUACCGUUUGUAAGCUCCGGCUAACUCCGUGCCAGCAGCCGCGGUAAUACGGGGGGAGCAAGCGUUGUUCGGAUUUACUGGGCGUAAAGGGCGCGUAGGCGGCCAGUGCAAGUCAGUUGUGAAAUCUCCGAGCUUAACUCGGAAAGGUCAACUGAUACUGCUCGGCUAGAGUGCGGAAGGGGCAACUGGAAUUCUUGGUGUAGCGGUGAAAUGCGUAGAUAUCAAGAGGAACACCUGCGGCGAAGGCGGGUUGCUGGGCCGACACUGACGCUG
rnacentral:rRNA from 1 species